rnacentral:rRNA from 1 species
AACGAACGCUGGCGGCAGGCCUAACACAUGCAAGUCGAGCGCCCCGCAAGGGGAGCGGCGGACGGGUGAGUAACGCGUGGGAACGUACCCUUUGCUACGGAAUAGCCUCGGGAAACUGGGAGUAAUACCGUAUGUGCCCUUCGGGGGAAAGAUUUAUCGGCAAAGGAUCGGCCCGCGUUGGAUUAGGUAGUUGGUGGGGUAAUGGCCUACCAAGCCGACGAUCCAUAGCUGGUUUGAGAGGAUGAUCAGCCACACUGGGACUGAGACACGGCCCAGACUCCUACGGGAGGCAGCAGUGGGGAAUCUUGGACAAUGGGGGAAACCCUGAUCCAGCCAUGCCGCGUGAGUGAUGAAGGCCUUCGGGUUGUAAAACUCUUUCGCGCACGACGAUAAUGACGGUAGUGCGAGAAGAAGCUCCGGCUAACUUCGUGCCAGCAGCCGCGGUAAU